CAGCAACUGAUAAAAAGGCAAAGAAAUUCUGCAUCAGUUUAUCUAACUGGCCAGUUUCUUGAUGCCAUCAGAAAAAUUAGAGGUCCUGAGGCAACUGCACGAUGCAUCCGCAACACGUUAAAGAAUUCGAGCAUGGGAAUAUCAAAUAUGAUAGGUCCUGUGGAACAAAUGGCUAUAGCUAAUCAACCAGUUAAAGGAUUGUACUUUGCUGUGGUAGGGGCACCUCAGGUACUUUAUACUACCAUUUCAAGAAAUUUGUAUACAUCAGCUAGCUUAUAAUUUUAAACAGGGGUAUUAUCAAGCUAAAGGUCAAACAUAAUCUGUUAACUAUAUAUUAUAAUUUACGAUAUCAAAUGAAAAAUGGCAUCAACAGCUAAAUAUUAAUUCUCCCUUCCGAAAAUUUAUAAAUCAUUUUGAAAAUUGGUGAAACUUCAUUUUCAACUACAUAUUUCAAUGGAUCCACAAGUAUUAUCCACUUGUGCGCCACUCAUUUCUAUUUCUUUAUAAAUUAAAUUGUUGAUGAAUUGUUCCCAGACAUUAAUGAAACAAA